GCUAUUUCUUGGGCCGCUCCUGCGGCAGAUGGAGGUUCCCAGGCUAGGGGUUGAAUCAGAGCUGCAGCCACCAGCCAGAGCCACAGCAACGCGGGAUCUGAGCCGCGUCUGCAACCUACACCACAGCUCACGGCAAUGCCGGAUCCUUAACCCACUGAGCAAGGGCAGGGACCAAACCCGCAACCUCGUGGUUCCUAGUCGUUAACCACUGCGCCACGACGGGAACUCCCAAGACUGUUGUCUUUAUGGGGAGUCGGCCAUGUGAAGACAAAGAAAUAGAGAAGAUGCCAUAUGAAGAUGGAAACGGAGACUAGACUGAGACCACCACAAGCCAACGAACACCAAGGAUGGCCAGCCGUCACCAGAAGCUGGGGGAGAAGCUGGGUACAGACCCUUCCUCAUGCCCUUGGAAGGAACCAACCCUUCUGACACCUUGAUCUUGGACUUCUGGCCUCCAUUACUGGGAGGGAAGACAUUUUUGUGGUUUUAAGCUACCCAGCUUGUAGGACUUUGUCAUAGCAGCCCUGAGAAACCAACAUGAGGGACUUCGAGAGUUACAGAAAAAAAACAACCACUCGUGUCUGAAUAUGAGAUGUGGGUCCCCUCCCAGAGCAAGCACCGAGCAUAGUCUGAUGGCUUCAGAUCUGCCACGGAAGACAGCAAGGCAGUGGUUAGCUUCAAGUCCCCAGCUGUGGAGGACAGAAUCCAGGGGGAGGGAAGGAGGCGCUCAGCGGGCCGUCCAGAGUUGUGGAAACCCAAGAGUGAGUGCCAAAUACAGUGAGUAACCUCUGUGGCAAUCAGAUGACUCAGCUUCUCCAGAUUGGAAAAGCAUAUGAGUAUGCUGAUCCCCCAAAGACUUUGGGGGGCUCAGUUCUGCACUUUGUGUGUAAUUGGCAGGCCUGCACCCAGAGACACAGCUGACCUUUUCAAGCUGAAUGUCUGGUUUUCUUAAAUCAACAUGUCUUGGUUUCAUAGACCAUAAAACCCCCAAUUUGGGAUGCAGGCCAGGUUGGAUAAGGCAGCUCUGAUGGUCUCCCAGGCUUCCCUUGGAAAUCCAGUGGAACGCAGGGGGACGUCCCUUUAGGAUGUCCCUCCAACCUGAAGUGGAAGCAAGCAGCAGGACUCUGUCCCGGCUAGAACCUCCGAGGAGGAGAUAACCAGGCGAUACACUUGGGAAGUCCGUGAAAAUGAUUUAUUUGAGCCUGAACUGGGAUUAUACUGCAGUGACUAAAAAGCAGUGUCCAAGGAAAACAUAAGAUGAGGUCGACUCAUGCUCAAUAAAAUGCAGCUCAAAGUGAUGUUUAGUGCCCAUGCUCUGUACAUCUGGCCUUUGGAGCCCAGCUGCCCUGAUAAAGAAUGAACACAAUCACAACUAAAUGUCCUGAGGACUGGUGACGUGCCAAACAUGCACUCAGUGCUUCCACUGGCCUUAACGUAUUUAAUCCUUCAACAAAUCUAUGACGUGCAGGUCAUUGUCCUCAUUUACAGAUGGAGAAAUGGAGGCUCAGAGAGGUUAAGGAACUCGUCCAAGGUCACACUGGGCUGAAUCAGGGAGACUAACUGGGGGAGUCCUGGGAUCAUCCAGGUGAGAGAUGCUGGCAGUGACGAAGGUGGAUGGUGAGAAGAGGUCAGUUCCUAGAUACAUUGGCAGAUACAUGGUUUGGCUGUGGGGUGUGAGAGACAGGUGUGGAGCAUGGCCCCAAGGUCUCCCAUACCUGGAAGAAUGGAGCUGCCAUUUAUGGAGGGGGAGACUGUGGGAGGAUCGGGAUUUGGAGGGUGAAGGGCAGACAAGAGCAGUUUAGCUUUGGAGAUGUUGGGUGGAGAAGCUUUCACUGCCUGGUGGGGGAGGGGGAUACUGUGGUUGGAUGUAUAAGAAUGGACAGAGUUCAAGGAGCGCCCAGACAUGGAGAGGUCCACUUGGGACUCAGCACAGAUAGAGGAUUGAAAGCCAUGGGAUUGGGUGAGAGACCCUAGGGAGUGAGUGUAGACAGGAGAGAGCAGGUGCCUGAUGACUGAUUCCAGGAACCCUCCACCAUCAGAGGUGGCAUGAAAGGAGGAGCCAGCUGUGGGCUGGGGGAGCGGCCAGGAGGGAGGAUGCCCUCCCCUGCCCCCUCGAGGGAGAGUGGAAUCAGAGCAGAGCUUCAGGAUGGAGGGAGUGACCCACUGUGUCAAGUCAUCAGGUAAGUCUUGUCAUCUGAACACUGAGAAGUGGUGGUCAGAUUUCGUGACAUCAGGGACAUUGACCAGCUCGGUUUUGGCAGAAUGAUAGGAGUGGGUUCAAGAGAGAGCUGGUUGUGAUGGUGAUGAUGGCUGUACAACUCUAAAUAUAGUAAAAUUCACUGAAUUUUAAAAAGAGGGAGAGAGAGUCGGGAUGGGAUGCAGCAGAUAAUGAACCCAGAAAAUUCAUUUAAAGACUUGGACCAUUGAGGAAAAAGAGGCAACAGUUGUAGGAUGGGGGGGGUCUUCUUCUAUUUUUGUAUUUUCUAGGGCCACAUCUGCAGCAUAUGGAGGUUCCCAGGCUAGGGGUCUAAUCAGAGCCAUAGCCACCUGCCUACGCCACAGCCACAGCAACGCAGGAUCCGAAACCCACAGAGCAAGGCCAGGGAUCAAACCUGCAACCUCAUGGUUCCUAGUUGGAUUUGUUAACCCCUGAGCCAUGAUGGGAACUCCAAGGAUGGGGGUUCUUAAUCUGUGGUCCAGGGCCCAUACAAUUUAGGGUACCAGUCCACCUGGAUGGGAGAAAAAGCUGCUUGAUUUAUUUCAUCAGCCUCUCCCGAAAAUGAGCAUGUCCCGCUGUUAGGAAGAGAGUAGCCCCUGCAGCGAUGUGACCAGUGCCAGUGACUUGGUUACCAAAAGGAAUCGCUCUUGGUUUGCACUGCUUUACAGGUGUGGCAGAUACCUGGAAAGGUCAUUUGCCAUCACUGCUACUUCAGAACUGGAGUAGUUCUGAGACCCCUGCUAGGUCUGCUCAGGUAACACAUUGAUGGAGAAGCACAUAAAUGACUAUGAACAAAAUGGCUUUGAAAUAUUUCGAUAACUGUAUCAAUUUAAUUGGCAUCCUUUACAGCCCAGUAUAUUAUUAUUACUAUUUUGCUUUUUAGGGCCACACCCAUGGCAUAUGGACAUUCCCAGAGCUCCAGCUACCAGCCUGCACCACAGCCACAGCAAUGCCAGAUUCAAGCCUCAACCGCGACCUACACCACAGCUCACGGCAAUGCGAGAUCCCUAACCCACAGAGUGAGGCCAUGGAUUGAACCCACAUCCUCAUGGAUACUAGUCAGAUUCAUUUCCCCUGCGCCACAAGAGCUCCCAUCCUGUAUAUUGUUACACACUUAAAAAUAUUCUUUGAUACAACAUCGUAAGUCCACUCUACUCCAAUAAACUUAAAUUUUAAGAAAGUACCAUUUAGAGAAUAGGCUUCACUAGCUGGCCGACGGGAUUCAAGGCCAAACAAACCAUGUGUCCAGCAAACAUCAGCAGCCUCAACAUCACAAACCACAAACAAAACAGUUAAGGCCCCUCUGCCAAUGGGAUGUGUGUUCCAGAGAGGGUUUCCGUGUUGUUUUGUUGUUGAUCUGAGGAGGAGAGAAACUGAAGCAGGGCUGCCUGCCUUUGGAAAUGAUCCAGUAAGAAGGCAGACGUUAGUGACGUGGGGGGGAUGUCCUUGCACAGAGGACAGGGGGGACCCUGCCCCUUGCCUGGAGAGCCCGGCUCAGACCAGGAGGGAGCCUGGGACAGACGGCCGUGGGCACAGGCUCCCCUGUCCCAGUUUCCUCGGGGAAGGUGGAAGCGGUGUGCUAUGCUGAGAAGGAAGGAGGGGGACACGGUAUUGAAGAUUUGCGUGGAGAGAGAAGGGGCACCCUGGUCCCCUCGGGGAAUGGGAGGGCGGUGGUCUAAGACAAGGUCAGCAGCAGGUGCCCUUGUGAAGUGAGGGGUCGUGGAGGUUCAGUGACCAUCAGUCACCGGGCAGCCUUCUCCAGCUCAGUCAGCAGGACCAUGCAGGCCCCUGCGUGGGCAAAGGGCUGGACUCGACUCGGUGGGAUUUUUCUAGGAGAAAUGAUGGAGAGAGGGGAGGGGUGAUGGGUGUGUACACGGAGGAGUACGGGUAGUGGUGGAUGAUGGGUGGGGCGGGGGGGGGGGGUGGGCUCAGGAGGACGGGAGAUGGUGGCCGGAGACUGGGACACGGUCACUGCGAUCAUGCUGGGCAAUGGCAUGUGCUAAAGAAAAGGUGGGGCCCCCAGGGUGGGUGGAGGAAGGGCCGGGGAGGGAGGAAUGGUGGGAAGGAACCACCACGGAGUACGUAGAACAGUUUGUGAUCUGGCCGUGUCACCCUUGUUUGACAAGUUCCAUCUCCCUGAUUCUCAUUUUCUGCCCGUGGAGGUGAGAGAGAGAAACAGAGCAGGAAAGAGGAACAGAAGCUGCACGUGUGUGUGAAGUACCCUCGUGCUCGUGGCCAGGCUGAUCUCGGCGUGGCUCUCAGGUCUGCCCUUUGCAUCUUUCAUCCACAGGAAUCAUAUUUGCAUGGAGCCGGGAAAUGUACACACUGCAGGCUGGUAUGUGAGACCUCGGGUCCCUCGACCAAUAGAUUUCGGGGCAGGUCUCUGUGCGAAGGGAAUUUCCGGGGGCAGUGGGUGUGCUCUGCUCUGGUCCCACCCUCCUGCCACCCCCCCGUGCCUCCCGACUUCCCAGUUCUGUAUAUUCCAGCCACGGAACCUGAGCUCAGCGGCUCCCCACCCUUCCGAUGGGUCAGCAUCCCUUAGAGAGCUUUUAAAAGACCCCGACACCUCAGACACUCCAGAGCGCAUGAUUCAUCGACUGGGGUGGGGUCUGCACAGGGAAACUUUUUAGCCCUGCCCCCUCCCCCCUAACCCACUGAAUGAGGCCAGGGGUCAAACCUGCAUCCUCAGGGACACUGUGUCUAGUUCAUAAGCCACUGAGCCACAAUGGACCACUGAGGACCACUGUCUUCAUUCAUGUGACUUGGAAAGGUCCUAUCAGGAGCUAUAAAAGAGCUUGAAACUGCAUAGCCAAGAGUCCCAGUACAAAUGUCUGUUCUGCUUGCUGGCUCUGCUGGUUGACUCUGGGCUUCUUCUGGGGUCUCCCACAAUGGGGACAGUUGUGCUUGUCGCUGUCCCCCAGUGUUAUCUGAUAUACCCACAAGCCUUCGUGCUCACAUGGCCUCUGCAUUAGAACCACCCUCCACCCACGAGUGCAGCCGGUCCUGAGUCCCACACCCUCGCCACCCAUCCUUGACCCUGUACCUUCGCCUGCCCCGCAUUCCUUAACCAGCCACGCAUCUGGAAAGAGGCAGUUUCCUAUUCACCCCUCCGCCGUCUGGCUCCUGCCUUCCCAGCACCCCACCCCCUCACGCCACCCCCUCUUAUCACCCAGGUCCUCUUUCUGGGACCCCAGCCCCUUACAGGCACUCAGCCUACCUCAUGUAUUAAUGCUGGCCAAGAAGUGUCCCCCCCCAGGGCAUUUAUAUUUUCCUGGAUGGCCCUUGAAAACAAAACUCUUCUUGGCCCCCAAGAAUGAUACUCGCAGCGGUAAGGACAUGGCGGGGUCAGUCCUGGGUGGAGGCUAGUGCUACUUCGAUGUGUGUUUUACAAACAUGUACAAAGUUUAGACUGAAUUGGCUCAGGUCUGAGAUGUCAGAAGUCCUACUAAGAGAAUGAUGAAUGCAGAUGAAACCGUGCAAAAUGAAAAUGUAGGCCCCUUGUUCAACACUUAUGAAUAAUUUCAGGAUGGCAA
rnacentral:lncRNA from 1 species